UUUCAUUACUUCACCUGCCUUCUAUUAUUUUAUGAUGGACCUGACAGAUGCAAUAUAAAUGUCCAGUCUCCAUACACAUUAACAGAAGGCCAAACACCAUCUACAAUCACAUGUCAGUCAGAUUGUUUUCCUUCCUGCUCAUACAAGUGGACAAAUAGUUCAACAGGAAAAGUGGUUGGGUCAAAGGGAGACUUUCAGAUUGACACAGUGACAAGAUAUGAGGCAGGAAAUUACACGUGCACUUGUUACAAUACCGCUACCAUAGAUACACCCGCAACUACAACUCUGCAAGUCAUCGUUACAUUUGCAUCAUUUUUCAUCGAAGAACACAAAGGCGAGACAAAUGUAUCUGUUGAUGAAAAUGAAACUGAUGUACACUUUAAGUGUGAAAUUGACAGUUACCCAGGAUCAAAAGUCCAAAAAUUGUUCCAAGACGUUUUACUGAAAGAGACUUAUCAGUCAAACAGUCUGACGUUCACUCGUAGCAGCAUCACGUGCUCCCAUACUGGCGUUUAUCCUUGUAAAGGAGACAAUCAGCACAGUCAGUCUCCUAGCUCAAACAUCAACUUAUUCGUGAGAUGCUCCCCACGACCACUUCAUCAGAUAAAACAAAAUAAAACAAGUGCACUGUAUGUUCCUGCGACACUAACCUUGACAACAAUAGCAUACCCAGAGCCCGGUCCAACAGGAUUCCUUUGGCACAAAGAAAGUGGAGUGUAAUGGAUGCCGUUGUUGAGCAAUAAUGAUUUGCUGGUAUCAUCAUCGGGAUUACACUCUAAUUUGACUAUACUAAAUGUAACACAGUUAGAUUACGGACGCUACAAGGUGACAGCUACGAAUGAUAUUGGCAGUUAUGUACAAUACAUUUUUCUGUUAAAAGAAGAUAUACAAACAUAUACAACUGAAACUUGCGAAGUGGAAACUAAUAAGACGGGAACUAUCCUUGGCAUUUUUUUGGCAUACUGAGUGCAGGUCUUCUUGUUUACGCAAUUUAUCUUACUAUUUUGCUUAAAAGAAGAUCUACUGAAAAAGGAAAACAGACGACAGAAGAUCAGAAUACACGAGUGACUUAUAUUAACGUAGCAGAAGAAGGUACAGUGAAACACAUUAAUGACUCAAGUGGAAACAAAGACGACUCUGCUAAAUUGUAUACAGAAUUAGCGCAAUAUUCAAAGGAUGACAAGUCAACAUAUGAUGUUAUUCAAAAGAAUUAGAGGGAACGCUUGAUAAAAAAAAUCAUGAUUUUGGCAUCUCUUGACAAUUUGUUUCAUCAUAUCUUGCUUCAGCUAUAGCAGCUAGUUUAUUGAAGCGAUGUAAAACUAGGAAAAGUCGUAUUUGACGUAUUCAGACAAAACCCGUUUUAAAAUAUUCACAUGGCUAAUCAAUUUUAAGAAUUGUAAAGUUGACAACUUUUGCUCUUGUUGUGUUAGUUUGUGUUGGAUUUAACGCGGUUUUUAACAGUAUUUCAUGUAACGACGGGCGUUUAACCUAACCUUGUGUUCAUGGAUUCUGUACUUGUACAAAGUGUUCUCCACAAGCAACCGCAAACAUGAAUCAGAGGUGGAGGACAGUUGAUUUCGAAAACAGUGUCUUUCAUCAAAUCGUCACGGAGAACAUACUCAUCGGUCGGGGAUCUAACUCACGACCAUUAGACCUGCGCUCUCCCUAUUGAGCUUAGUUGGUGGGUUCUUUGCUCUUGUAGUUUGGCUGUUCUAAGAGUUUAUAAGGAAAAAUAUGGAAUUGUUGAAUCAUAACCCAUGAGAAUGAAACCUUUCUUUCAGUACUUGACAGAAACCAAUAGUAUCUAUUAUUUAUAUAAGAAUAUAGUUUCUUCUUGUUAAUAUUAGAUCAUGGAUAUUAACUUGAAACUUGUGUAGAGAUGGUGCCUAAACAAGUUGAAUUCGAUUUUACAGGGGGUUUUUUUCUGUGUGAAAUGAUUGAUAAGUGCACCAAUAUACUAAAUAUAUAUAUUUAUGUUUUUCCGCUUCUCUUUGUAAAAACAGAAAUAAUUGACAUUUUAAGAAAUACCAUCUAUGGACAUCUAAUUUAAAGCGAAAUGUCUUGUAUUGAUUGUAUUGAUUGCUUUUCAUGGAUUUUGGGAUUUCCGGAAUUAUAGACUAUAUCAAAAAUCUCCAUAAAUUCAAAAGUUUAGUCUGCUUUCAAUUCUUUGUAAGAGCCUUACCCCGCUUACAGAGUUUGCAACAAUAAAAAACACUAGUACAACUUAUUGGAGGCAGUAGACUCGUAAAGAAAAUCAGCAAAGUAUGUAUAUUCGUAUGCUAUUCCGAAUUUUCUCGGAAAGCAACGAGCGCGCUAAGCUAUAGUUAUGUCCGAACAAUGCCGAAUUGCUUACGAGAUUACACAAUCAUAUGGAAAUUGCAGAGUGUCUUUACAGAUUUAAAAUACCCUAAUAUUGAUGUCCGCAGCCAUGCGUGUAAAAUUAUACUGUUUGCAGCUAAUCUCUCCUGAACAGUCAGUGAAAUGCUUCAAAAAUGUGUAAAACAUCUAAAGCAGUUUCAAAAUGCUGAAAUGAAAUGAUUAAUAUAACAACAUUGUACGUGGGUUGUUACACGUAUGUGAACUAGUUUUAGCUUUUUGUGACUUCGCAUUGUUGGAUAUACAUGUACAUUAUACGUUUCAUAUCAAAGUUUUUGUAAACAAAGUUAUUCUUGGUAAGAGCAAAACAAUACAUUUAGUUAAAAAGCCAAAACUUAAAAUAUUCGCAUUAACAAUUCUUAAAGUUGUACAAUUUCUUGAAUGAAAUUUAUGCAUUUUCAAUCUUGAUACACUACUAAACCUUUUAGUAGGGCCACAACACGACGUAUAAAAUAACUGUUACGAGUUCAGUUCAGUAUGCAUGCUCAAAAUAUAGAUGACAUAAACCCAUAUUCC